rnacentral:misc_RNA from 1 species
UACGAACUGUGCGAACGUUGUUCGGAAUCACUGGGCUUAAAGGGUGCGCAGGCGGCUCGCCCAGUCGGAUGUGAAAUCCCCCGGCUCAACCGGGGAAUGGCGUUCGAAACUGGCGGGCUCGAGUGAGGUAGGGGCGUGUGGAACUCCCGGUGGAGCGGUGAAAUGUGUUGAGAUCGGGAGGAACGCCGGUGGCGAAAGCGACACGCUGGGCCUCAACUGACGCUCAGGCACGAAAGCCAGGGGAGCGAACGGG